UAACGUUAAUUUUUUUACAGCUCAAGAGUAAACAUAUAAAAAUAGCACACACACAAGAUCCAAGUAUUCGAAAAAAAACAUAGGCCAAAAAUUAAUCGAUUCGCUAUUUCUUUUGACAUUUUACCUGCGUUGGCAUUAGACCAGGACAUCGUCACAAUGUUCGAAACUUCAAAAGCGAUCUCUUAAUGACUUAACAACCGUAAAUCUCCCCGACACGCCAUGGAGCGAGGAUUCGACGCGCCUACUUCGCACAAUUAUCGGACCCAUCACCCCGGUCGGCAGGUACAUGCAACAGCUAUCAGAUUAAAAUGAAAGAGAGGCCAGUCGGAAAUAUUCAGGGCAAUUGAAUUUUACAUGCACGUGUAAAACGACACGUAGCUCAUGUUUUCGGACACGUCCGAAAACAUCUUCAAGACAACGAUCAAAAGAGCGGCAACAAAUUAGGCUGAUGAAUUACUGAAUACAGAACUGUGUGAGCGAAGAGGUGGUGAUCGUGGGCGCGAUUGACGCACUCACCGCGCACGCUGCAUUCUUUUCUCAAACGGAAACGUAGCGGCGUCCCAUUCAGAGAUAUCCCAUUGCGCGUCUCGAUCAUUAGACCGAUGCCGAAUUGCGCUAUACCUUUGCCGGCGCAAGGUAGCAGAAUACUGAACUCUGCAACGAAGAAAAGAAGAUAUAUUAUUGGCGUGUACGUGUAUGUUUCUCGACCCACGCACGCACGCACGCUCGAUUACUUGCACAAUCUGUAAAAAAAUAUAAAAGUAUUUGGCAUUCUGUUUACAUGAUACAGAUUAUAUGCAUAUAUCGCAAGUUUUAUCGGCUAAAUUGUUCCAGCAAAAAGUAAUAAUGAUGCGAAGUAUCGCGACGCGUCACCCGAAGAAAAGACAAUUGUAAAGGAAGAAGAGAUCGCUCGCAAAUAACUGUGUACCGCUUAACAUCUUCGUCUGUUGCUGGUCGAUCCAGAGAGAGAUAUCUGAUUUGUGCGCGCCGUUCCGGGAGCGAUGCUUUUGCCGAGCGAGCGCGCCGUCCAGGAGCAGAA